CGCGCGCGCUGCGCUGGGCGGUGGCGAGCUGGCUGUCGGUGAGCCAGACGAGACGGCUGUGGAAGUCGAUGCGGUCGAUCAACUCGGCCCGGGCGCGG
rnacentral:tRNA from 1 species